AAAAAAAAACUCAGGUGCCGGUGCCACUUGACUACGAUAACGGCAGCAGACCAAACAACGGAUGAAGAAAGGACACAAGCGGCGGUGUGCCACCCCAGUUGAUGGAAGACAUCAUUCUGAGGUAAGUUUUAAGGUGGUUUCCAAAUGAAUCAUUAUUUUAAACUACUGGCAAAUUGCCAGUGACUGCACAUUUAGAGGAGAAGAGAUGUUGCCGCCAAUAGUUAGUGCGAGUCGGCUAACGUUAUGAAGCUAGCUACGUAGAUUGGGAUAAUGUGGGGAAACCGGGGCAUUGUUGGUUUUCAGUAAGUGUUUAAUCAACCCAGUUCAUAAGAAUUUCAUACCAGACUGAUGAAACUGAUUAUCUCAAUGUUUAUGAAGCUUGUUUAUUAUUGUAAAGGUCUAAAUUAUAACGUUAGCCAAGUUACUAAGCCCUAAAUUAUAACAUUAGCCAAGUUACUUAGCCCUAACUAACCUAUAUGAUCUAGUUUAAUUGCAUAGUAGCUAAGCUGGUAGUUGAUUUUUAAGUAAGUUAAAACACAAGAAUGGGGACAAAUAGUUUAAGAUUCAGCCUAAAACAAUAUUGAGGUCUAAUCAGGCUGUCUUAUUUUGUAUAGGGACAGGUAACCAUGAAAAGGAAGGGAGAUAUUGCAGACUUUUUUGUAAAGAGGCACAAAUCAGGCCCAGAUCAGGCCCAGGCAGACCCCACCCCUAAAACCAGCAGCCCUGGCAGCUCUCAACCGGGAGCUAGCCAGGCAAGUCAGUGUGAGCAUAGAGAAGGAUCCAGUCUACCACCACCAGGUCAGAACACACAGGCAGUAAAUUGCAUCUCCAGUUUAUUGAAAAGUGAAGCCUCACACUGUAACAAAAGACAUCAAUAAUGACUGGCCAGACCUGUGGAGUGCUAAACAAACAGAAGACUUCAAAUCCAAGAACCCCUGGUUGGGAUCCAAAAACAAAAAAUUGGGAUGUCUGGUCUGUAGCAGUGUGAACUCCAUUGGGAUCGACAAGGAGCAAGGACAAGGUGUAUCGCUC